rnacentral:rRNA from 1 species
GACGAACGCUGGCGGCGUGCUUAACACAUGCAAGUCGAGCGGUAAGGCCCUUUCGGGGGUACACGAGCGGCGAACGGGUGAGUAACACGUGGGUGACCUGCCCUCAGCUCUGGGAUAAGCCCGGGAAACUGGGUCUAAUACUGGAUAUGACUCCAUGACGCAUGUUGUGGGGUGGAAAGCCUUGUGCGGCUGAGGAUGGGCCCGCGGCCUAUCAGCUUGUUGGGGGGUGAUGGCCUACCAAGGCGACGACGGGUAGCCGGCCUGAGAGGGCGACCGGCCACACUGGGACUGAGACACGGCCCAGACUCCUACGGGAGGCAGCAGUGGGGAAUCUUGCGCAAUGGGCGAAAGCCUGACGCAGCGACGCCGCGUGAGGGAUGACGG